rnacentral:lncRNA from 1 species
GCAUUAUGUUCCCAUGCAGCCUGGAUUAAUUGCUUUGGGAGUGACAUUUCUCUGUGGACCACCAAAAUUUUCUCACGGCCCACCAGUGAUUCCUGGCCCACUGGUUGGCGACCACUGGACUAGAAGACCUGUAUUAAGAUCCCUUCCAACCCUAUUAUUCUAUCUUCUACAAGUAUUGCUAAAGCACUUUGAAUAGAUUAUGAUAAACUGUGAUCCUGGUGCAUAAGAGUCAUUGGAUGAUUGUCCUCUUCAGGAGAAGAGCUAGAACCCAUCAUAAAGGGAUGUGGAAAUAAUAGCUCCUUUGAAGAUCUGCAGGUGCUUUAUCAGAUUGGAAGAGACUUCGCUUUCUUUGACCAAAAAAUCUGUGACCAAUCCAGCUGCAAUAAUAGAAGUUUUCCAGAAAAUAAAAGCACAGCCGUGACCAUUCAGAAGGGCUGUGCCACGGAAUCCAUGUGCAGGAGAGACACAGAUAUAUAUUUUAGACUGAAGAGAGAAAAUACUCAUGCCGAAUGUUGUAAAAGGAAUCUUUGCAACCAAGCCCACAGUCCCACCAGCCCACAACUGGUGACAAUUCUUACUUUAUGGUUAGUGUUGAAGGUCUAUCCGUAACCACCCCUGUUUCAUUGGUGGCACAGAAAUAAAUUUGGGACAUUCUGGGGGUGAGGUGUUUUUUUGGCCUCUGGCGUUCCAAUGCAUAAACUUCGUUGCUUUUCUAAAAAAAAAAAUGUUGCUUUUCUUUCUCCCAUUUUGCACACUGAGAAGGUGAGCUCUCCCUUGACUUUUUUUUUUUUAAAUUACAUUUAUAUGCCGCCCUUCUCCGGAGACUCAGGGCGGCUUACAAUUUUUUUG